rnacentral:lncRNA from 1 species
GCAUGCGCGGCCACCCCGACGGCGACAGCGCCACCGUGAGCACCGCGGCCGGAACCGGUACUGCAGCAUCCCCCGUGUGACAGGGACACCACGGAUGGGGGGGGGCGGUGUCCCCGUAUGUGACAGUGGGGAUGUCCCCGUAUGUGAUGGUGACGGUGACCCCCUGCGUGGGGGUGGCACUGUCCCCGUAAGUGAUGGUGGCAGCGUCCUUAUACCUGGGGCUGGCACUGUCCCCAUACACGGAGGUGGCAGUGUCCCCAUGCGUGGCACUGUCCCCAUACAUGGAGGUGGCAAUGUCCCCAUGCGUGGCACUGUCCCCAUACAUGGAGGUGGCGGUGUCCCCAUGCGUGGCAGUGUCCCCAUAUAUGGCAGUGACAAUGUCCCCAUAUGUGGCAGUGUCCCCACACAUGGGGUGGCAGUGUCCUUAUAUGAAGGUGACAGUGUCCCCAGACAUGGCACUGUCCCCAGCUGUGACACUGGAGAUGUCCCCAUAUGUGGAGGUGGCACUGUCCCCAUAGGUGACAAUGUCCCCAUAGGUGAAGGUGACAAUGUCCCCAUACAUGGAGGUGACAGUGUCCCCAUAGGUGACAAUGUCCCCAUAUGUGACACUGGAGAUGUCCCCAUACGUGGAGGUGGCAGUGUCCCCACAGAUGACAAUGGCCCCAUAGGUGAAGGUGGCAGUGUCCCCAUAUGUGGGGGUGGCACUGUCCCCAUACAGGACAAUGUCCCCAUAUGUGACAGUGGGGGUGUCCCCAUGUGUGAUGGUGACAGUGACCCCGUACAUGGGGGUGGCAGUGUCCCCAUAUGUGACAAUGACCACGUCCCCCCCCCAUCCCCGUGGUGCUGUCCCCAUGUCCAGAGGGGGGGUGGGGUGUGGGGGGGGGGAGGUGACAGUCCCCAUUGGUGUCACUGCACAGAGCUGCUCCUGGCGCUGCCCCCCGGCCCCCCCGGCCCCCCCGUGCGCCUGCAGCACCGGGACGUGGAGCUGGAUGUCCCCAGGGAGGUGGCAGGGGACGGUGACGAUGGUAAAAAA